AGUCGAACGAUGAUGCCCAGCUUGCUGGGCGGAUUAGUGGCGAACGGGUGAGUAAUACGUGAGUAACCUGCCCUUGACUCUGGGAUAAGCCUGGGAAACUGGGUCUAAUACUGGAUACUACCUCUUACCGCAUGGUGGGUGGUGGAAAGGGUUUUACUGGUUUUGGAUGGGCUCACGGCCUAUCAGCUUGUUGGUGGGGUAAUGGCUCACCAAGGCGACGACGGGUAGCCGGCCUGAGAGGGUGACCGGCCACACUGGGACUGAGACACGGCCCAGACUCCUACGGGAGGCAGCAGUGGGGAAUAUUGCACAAUGGGCGGAAGCCUGAUGCAGCGACGCCGCGUGAGGGAUGACGGCCUUCGGGUUGUAAACCUCUUUCAGUAGGGAAGAAGCGAGAGUGACGGUACCUGCAGAAGAAGCGCCGGCUAACUACGUGCCAGCAGCCGCGGUAAUACGUAGGGCGCAAGCGUUGUCCGGAAUUAUUGGGCGUAAAGAGCUCGUAGGCGGUUUGUCGCGUCUGCUGUGAAAGCCCGGGGCUCAACCCCGGGUCUGCAGUGGGUACGGGCAGACUAGAGUGCAGUAGGGGAGACUGGAAUUCCUGGAGUAGCGGUGAAAUGCGCACAUAUCAGGAGGAACACCGAUGGCGAAGGCAGGUCUCUGGGCUG
rnacentral:rRNA from 1 species